rnacentral:rRNA from 1 species
CUGGGGUCUCUAACCGGGAUUCAAAGUGCACGCCCUUGUCUACAUUCUCAAACCCCUGUGCACUUAUUGUAGGCUCGGUGGAAAGGCUGACUUCACGGUUGGCCUGAAAGCCUUGCCUAUGCUUUAACACACGCUUCAGUCUAUGAAUGUCAUUUUGCGGAUAACGCAUUUAAAUACAACUUUCAACAACGGAUCUCUUGGCUCUCGCAUCGAUGAAGAACGCAGCGAAAUGCGAUAAGUAAUGUGAAUUGCAGAAUUCAGUGAAUCAUCGAAUCUUUGAACGCACCUUGCGCUCCUUGGUAUUCCGAGGAGCAUGCCUGUUUGAGUGUCAUGGAAUUCUCAACCUUCAACACUUUUGUGAAGAAGGCUUGGACUUGGAGGCCGUGUGGGCUGGCAACAGUCGACUCCUCUGAAAUGUAUUAGUUGCGAACCUUACGGAUCGCUUCGGUGUGAUAAUUGUCUACGCCGUGGUGUUGAAGUAUAGCAGUGUUCGAGCUUCUAACAGUCCGCAAGGACAAUUUUUUGACAAUCUGACCUCAAAUCAGGUAGGACUACCCGCUGAACUUAAGCAUAUCAAA